rnacentral:rRNA from 1 species
AAAUCCACCUGCUCAACAGAUGGGCUGCGGGGGAUACUACAGGGCUAGGAGGCGGGAGAGGCAAGCGGUACUCAGUGGGUAGGGGUAAAAUCCUCUGAUCCAUUGAAGACCACCAGUGGCGAAGGCGGCUUGCCAGAACGCGCUCGUCGGUGAGGGAUGAAAGCUGGGGGAGCAAACCGGAUUAGAUACCCGGGUAGUCCCAGCUGUAAACGAUGCAGACUCGGUGAUGGGCUGGCUUCGCGCCAGCCCAGUGCCGCAGGGAAGCCGUUAAGUCUGCCGCCUGGGGAGUACGGUCGCAAGACUGAAACUUAGAGGAAUUGGCGGGGGAGCACCACAAGGGGUGAAGCCUGCGGUUCAAUUGGAUUCAACGCCGGG